AAAAUGACACAGUAUUGAUGCCACAAAUGACGAAUUUCCCACCCUCACAAAAAAUAAACCAAACCCAAUAAAAUCAAUCCAGCAAGUGAACUUACCUCUCAAAAUCAAUCGGGAGCUCUGAAGUCAGUCAGCUUGAGAGAAUGUAGUGGACAUUAGAGAAGACUCUUUGGUAUUUGAGACUCCAUCUCUACCAAAAUCGAG
rnacentral:lncRNA from 1 species